AUGCGAGUCGAUGGGAUUCCUAAAUUUCCCAUGGCAAACUGCUCAGUAACACAUGAUCAACUUACCCUAUAGAGAAAAAUGACCUCGGGAAACUGAGGAUAAUAUUUCAUAAUUGAAUCGGCUUGGAAAAGUUUUUCAAUCAAAAGAAUAAGAAAAAUGGUUCUUAUUCGCUAUAGGAUAGGAUCGUGGACGAUUAUGGUUGUUGGUGAGGUAACGGCUCACCAAGCCGAUAAUCGAUAGGGGCCGUGAGAGCGGGAGCCCCGAGAUGGGUACUGAGACAACGACCCAGGCCUUACGAGGCGCAGCAGGCGCGGAAACUCCGCAAUACACGAAAGUGUGACGGGGUUACCCAAAGUGUUCAAUUUUGAACUGUGGUAGGUGAGUAAUGUCCCCUACUAGAAAGGAGAGGGCAAGGCUGGUGCCAGCCGCCGCGGUAAAACCAGCUCUUCAAGUGGUCGGGAUAAUUAUUGGGCUUAAAGUGUCCGUAGCCGGUUUAGUAAGUUCCUGGUAAAAUCGGGUAGCUUAACUAUCUGUAUGCUAGGAAUACUGCCUUACUAGAGGGCGGGAGAGGUCUGAGGUACUACAGGGGUAGGGGUGAAAUCUUAUAAUCCUUGUAGGACCACCAGUGGCGAAGGCGUCAGACUGGAACGCGCCUGACGGUGAGGGACGAAAGCCAGGGGAGCGAACCGGAUUAGAUACCCGGGUAGUCCUGGCCGUAAACGAUGCAUACUAGGUGAUGGUGCGGCCAUGAGCCGUAUCAGUGCCGUAGGGAAACCGUUAAGUGUGCCGCCUGGGAAGUACGGUCGCAAGGCUAAAACUUAAAGGAAUUGGCGGGGGAGCACCACAAGGGGUGAAGCCUGCGGUUCAAUUGGAUUCAACGCCGGAG
rnacentral:rRNA from 1 species